AAUAGAUACCCCGGUAGUCCACGCCGUAAACGAUGAGUGCUAAGUGUUAGAGGGUUUCCGCCCUUUAGUGCUGCAGCAAACGCAUUAAGCACUCCGCCUGGGGAGUACGGCCGCAAGGCUGAAACUCAAAGGAAUUGACGGGGGCCCGCACAAGCGGUGGAGCAUGUGGUUUAAUUCGAAGCAACGCGAAGAACCUUACCAGGUCUUGACAUCCUCUGACAAUCCUAGAGAUAGGACGUUCCCCUUCGGGGGACAGAGUGACAGGUGGUGCAUGGUUGUCGUCAGCUCGUGUCGUGAGAUGUUGGGUUAAGUCCCGCAACGAGCGCAACCCUUGAUCUUAGUUGCCAGCAUUCAGUUGGGCACUCUAAGGUGACUGCCGGUGACAAACCGGAAGAAGGUGGGGAUGACGUCAAAUCAUCAUGCCCCUUAUGACCUGGGCUACACACGUGCUACAAUGGAUGGUACAAAGGGCUGCAAGACCGCGAGGUUUAGCCAAUCCCAUAAAACCGAUUCUCAGUUCGGAUUGCAGG
rnacentral:rRNA from 1 species